rnacentral:rRNA from 1 species
AGUCACUGACAUUAGAUACCCCGGUAGUCCAGGGUGUAAACGCUGCAGACUUGGUGUUGGGGGCCCUUUGGGGGCAUUCAGUGCCGGAGAGAAGUUGUUAAGUCUGCUACUUGGGGAGUACGUCCGCAAGGAUGAAACUUAAAGGAACUGGCGGGGGAGCACCGCAACGGGAGGAGCGUGCGGUUUAAUUGGAUUCAACACCGUAAACUCACCAGGGAAGACUGUUACAUGAAGGCCGAGAUGAAGACUCUGCUAGAUUUUCAG